rnacentral:tRNA from 1 species
GGCGCGAAUGCCUUUCGGAACUACAUGGUUUAGACCCACGUGGUCCCGGGUUCGAAUCCCGGCGCCUCCA